GUCAUUCCCGCUUUACCAUUGUUAUUGAAUGCAACAACUUUUUAUACACACCAACCUCCAUCCAAAAUUGUCUACCUAACUUACAUGACCUAUUUUUUUUUAUGAAUGACAUUUGAGAUUGGUUUGUCUUCUUUCUUUUUUUUUGUUGUUGAGAAAUUUCAUUUCUUGUAGUUGUGCCAUCAUUUUUGUUAUUGUGCCGUUAUUUGCUGUUACUUAAUGUGCUGUAUGUUAAAUUAGUUUGACAUAUAUUGUUAUUCUGUGAGCUUAGAGGAUCAGCAUAUGGAUGGGUCUUUUUUGGAUUGUGAAAAUAGCUUGGAGUCUGACCCUCUAACUGAAAUAGUUGUUUUUCUUUUUUUUUCGUCAUUUGCAAUAAAUGACACAUUUUAUCUC
rnacentral:sRNA from 1 species